GCAUUUUUUAAUCUCACUAGAUGUAAUUUAUCUAAUUUUAUCUUUGAAUUUGAUUGGUUUUCAUAUACUGUUACUGAAAUAGUUGAAGUACUUUCUGUCUCAUGGAUCGUCUCGGGAAGCUCUUAAAGCAGUCGGGAAUGUAUCCUAGGCUACAAGGAGCUAGCAAAUUCAGGAAUUUUAGUUCUUUGCUUGACUGCGUUGUUGAGGCUAUUAAUUAAUAAAAAUCAAAUGAACAUGUCCGAAUCUUCUAUUUAUCUCAUAAAUCACAUUUUGAGUUUGAGAUACUUGUGAGAAUAAAAACAAAAGCAUGGUUGAUGCAUUUCCA
rnacentral:misc_RNA from 1 species